rnacentral:siRNA from 1 species
GUUGGAUGGAUCUGUCAAAUGGA